rnacentral:lncRNA from 1 species
UUCANGNUGGAACUAGGCAGCUCUGACCNUUGCUCAAUGUUUUAACCAUAANUUUUUCUACANAGCUCUAAAUGAGAUGAGGUUUUUUUUCCUGGAAAGUAGACUCAAUUAUCUUUCAUUUGAUAUAUAAAAUGUAGCAUUUGGACCUCUGGUGUGGUUGCAGUUAUUUUUUUAAAAUCGAGUCCAGAGAGUGAAAAUGCUAAACCCAAUACUAGACUAAACAAAUAUCUAAACACAGUUAAAUUAAAUUAAAUGCAAAACUAAAUUAAAGAAAUUAAAAACAACUAAUCCUACAAUUCAAAUUAAUUUAAAACACAAGAAAUAAACAACACAAACUCCUACUAACAAUUUAUAUGACCAAUGCAUCUACUAAUGAAAUUGAAUUUGCAAUGCUGUAAAAUAACCUCCUGCCGUGACUACUAAAUUCCAUGAUUUCAAAGUUGAGAACUAUUUUCCUCUUUCCAGCACCGUGAUCAAUGGCAUGAGCAAAUGCCUUCAUUCAAUAAUGAUUCCCAAGGUGAAAGAAAUGCUGCAGCAUUAUUCUUGACCUUGCCUUUGCACACAAAGUCAAAGCACCAUGGAGUGAAGCCCAUCUUCCAACCGUAACAUCAUCACUUGGUAACAACAACUUCUUCCUAAUCUACUUUUGAUUUCAUAAAAAGAAUAAAAGAAAGCUAAUCUUUGCUUCCAGCAGUAACGUAGCACCCAUAGGGACACUUGCCUUGACCGAGGGACUCAACACCGAUUCAAGCCAAGCCUCACUCGUGAAUGCUCAGCAAACCAUGUCCCUUCAACCAAAUUUACUUCUUCAAUUUAAAACCAACUAAAACAUGUGCUUGGCCGUAACUCUUGGCAAAUCCCAUCAAUACCAGACCUACACCCAUUAAUUCAACUUGCUUCCAAACAUCCAAUCAUUAGCUUUCCUUCACACAAUUAAAAUUAAAUUGAAAAAGCUACCAACCAUAAGCUGAGUUAUGUUGCUGCAACUAGCUCUUCUCGGACCCACCAAUAUGCUAAAUAAAAUUAGAUGCAAAGCUACCUACUUUUCCCAUGUAUUCCCGAGACAAACUCUGCACCAAGCAUCCCAUCAUCCAAUUUGCAAAGCUUUUCAUUCUAAUAGAAAUAAAAGCAAUUGCUUGUACACUUACGCUGCCAAUCUUCCAUCAUCUUCUAACCUAUUUCCAAGUGUCACAUGUGAAAGCAAUAAUAGAACAAAUGCAAGUGAGAUGUUCAAUCUCUUCCAGCAACCAAAACCGACGGUGCUUCCCAAUGCAAAAUUCCAGACAGCAGCGUAAAUCACAACCCACAAAUGAAUUUUGUAACUCUCAUUAAUUCAACCAUUGUAACAGCUUUCAAUGUUCAGCAUAGAAGUAGUAAAUGUUUGAGUAAAGGGUGCAGAGAAGGAAUGCAAGAUCAUAAUAUAAAUGCUUCAUUCAUCAACCCACGGGCCAAGAGCCGUGAACAACCAAGCUCUCAUUUUCUUCAACACAGUAACGUUAUUUUUCCCACAAAAUUCUCUCAACGUUCAACAAAAGCAAAGAAGAGAAAGGAAAACAUGUUCCGAAUAUGUGUGUCCCCCCCCCCC